rnacentral:misc_RNA from 1 species
CAUAACAACCUGUAUCGAAACCAGAUGAUAAGCAAUAAAGUGCAAAGUUUAAAUCGCGUACGAAUUCAUUCGGCGCGCCAAUAAUCGGCGGGCGUUUGCGCGCUGCAUUGCUCGGCGACGCUCGUGAGGGUUCGUACGUGGUCGGUGGCGUCGCGACGCCGAGUGGGGAUAUGCCGGUCGAAGUAGAGAGAUAGCGUAGUUGUGGCCCGAUGGAAGAGCCGCGCGGAGGGACGAGAGGGUGCGGAGUCCGCGUGUCGUUGACAGCAGCGGCGGCUAGGAGGCCUCGGUGAGGCCAGUGAAGCGUCGCUCGACAGUCGAAGCCGGUCUCUCGGCGUGCGAGUAUCGAGAGUAUCGCGAGGUUCCGCCGUACGUUCGUUCUUGCCUCGCGACGCGAACUUGUCACCUGUCAAGUCACGCUCGCCGCACAAAGUAACAUAACAUAUCGGAAUUUCAAGUCAGUCGAGAGUCUUAACAUCGCGUUUCUUCCCUCGAAUUUUGCCGCGUGUGUCGCGCUGACGAACCAUCGAGUUCUCGAGAUCCCCCCGUUGUGCGUUGAUUCGUGUCGUGCCCGUUCGGCAACUGCGUUUCCGCUCGCGUGUGUCCAGUGUGCAGAAGUGUGUGGAUGCGACGGCGGAACCAUAGCCGCCGAGAUUGCCGCGAGGACGUUCCCCCCUGGCCGGUUAACUCCUAGGUAUGCAGAUUCAGGCUGUUGCCAGUGGAAGACGCAAAGGCUGGCAUUUAACUUCCUAAUUUCCAAUUCGAGCGGUCAGGAAGCCUCGUCGGAAAGAAAAUUACGCUAGAGGGAAGUUCUGCUUCGGUUGUGAAAGGAGUUACCGAGGUGUGAGUGUCUACGCGAGUAUAAGAGUUUUCCGGCUCGAUUCCCAAAACUUUCACGGUUAUUCGCUCGAGCCCGACUUCGUGAGAGACUGUCUACUGGUAAAGAAAACGAGAGCUGAUGAAUAGCGAACGGAAGUCGAUCAUCUAACCAGAUCGGAAGCUGUGAACCGAGGACGUUCUCACGGCUAGAAG